UGUGUUGCUUUGGCUCUGGUGUAGGCCAGCAGCUGUAGCUCUGAUUCAACCCCUAGCCUGGGAACCUCCAUGUGCCACAGGUGCUGACUGCCUCCUGCCUUCACAGGUUCUGGUUUAUAAUUGGAUGUAGCCUGGGGAUCCAGAGCAUUUCAAUCUCCCCAGGUGAUUCUAAUAUGUCUAAUAGGCAGACCGGUUUGAGAACCACUAUUCUAGGUUUAAUAAGUCAAAUAAGUAGCUUGGUCCACCCACCUCCAGAGACUCUCCAGAGAACAGUUGUUCUCGAAGUGUGAUCCCCGGACCGGCAUAAGCAUCACUUGGGAACUUCUUCCAAACGUGAUUUUCAGGCUCCAUCUCAGACCCACUGAAUCAACAAUUCUGGGGGUGGGGUGCAGCAGUCUGUGUCAUCACGAGACCCCCAAGUGACUGUGAUACCCCCUGAAGUCAGAGAACCACAGCUAUAUUAUCAUUGCUGUAACUUGAGGAUCCCAAUCGCCAUCCCCUCAGAGACCAGCCGGAGCAAGAACCAAGGGCUGUCCGUCCUCUGAAUUUGGGGCAAUACCAAAUAUCCAGUUUCCAGGGUUAGAUGUUGUGAAUCCUGAGGUGAUGACAGCAUAGAAUCGGCCUUCAAAUAGAUGACAGUCCAUUGGAGGGGAGAGCUCAAUACCAAAAAAAUGAACAACCCCAUCAAAAAAUGAGCAGAAGAUCUAAA